rnacentral:rRNA from 1 species
CGUGUAGGCGGGUCUUUAAGUCAGGGGUGAAAUGCCGAGGCUCAACCUUGGAACUGCCUUUGAUACUGGGGAUCUUGAGUCCGGGAGAGGUGAGUGGAACUGCGAGUGUAGAGGUGAAAUUCGUAGAUAUUCGCAAGAACACCAGUGGCGAAGGCGGCUCACUGGCCCGGAACUGACGCUGAGACGCGAAAGCGUGGGGAGCAAACAGGAUUAGAUACCCUGGUAGUCCACGCUGUAAACGAUGGAUGCUAGCCGUUGGGGAGCUUGCUCUUCAGUGGCGCAGCCAACGCUUUAAGCAUCCCGCCUGGGGAGUACGGUCGCAAGAUUAAA